AUUGAACGCUGGCGGCAUGCCUUACACAUGCAAGUCGAACGGCAGCACGGGAGUAAUCCUGGUGGCGAGUGGCGAACGGGUGAGUAAUAUAUCGGAACGUGCCCAGUCGUGGGGGAUAACGCAGCGAAAGCUGUGCUAAUACCGCAUACGAUCUAAGGAUGAAAGCGGGGGAUCGCAAGACCUCGCGCGAUUGGAGCGGCCGAUAUCAGAUUAGCUAGUUGGUGGGGUAAAGGCCCACCAAGGCGACGAUCUGUAGCUGGUCUGAGAGGACGACCAGCCACACUGGAACUGAGACACGGUCCAGACUCCUACGGGAGGCAGCAGUGGGGAAUUUUGGACAAUGGGCGCAAGCCUGAUCCAGCAAUGCCGCGUGCAGGAUGAAGGCCUUCGGGUUGUAAACUGCAUUUGUACGGAACGAAACGGCCCUUUCUAAUACAGGGGGCUAAUGACGGUACCGUAAGAAUAAGCACCGGCUAACUACGUGCCAGCCGCCGCGGUAACAC
rnacentral:rRNA from 1 species